rnacentral:rRNA from 1 species
AGUGAACGCUGGCGGUAGGCCUAACACAUGCAAGUCGAACGGCAGCACAGUAAGAGCUUGCUCUUACGGGUGGCGAGUGGCGGACGGGUGAGGAAUACAUCGGAAUCUACUUUUUCGUGGGGGAUAACGUAGGGAAACUUACGCUAAUACCGCGUACGACCUACGGGUGAAAGCAGGGGAUCUUCGGACCCUGCGCGAUUGAAUGAGCCGAUGGCGGAUUAGCUAGUUGGCGGGGUAAAGGCCCACCAAGGCGACGAUCCGUAGCUGGUCUGAGAGGAUGAACCAGCCAAAUGGGAAUUGAGAAACGGUCAAGACCCUUACGGGAGGCAGAAGUGGGGAAUAUUGGACAAGGGGCGCAAGCCUGAGGCAGCCAUACCGGGUGGGUGAAGAAGGCCUUCGGGUGGUAAAGCCCUUUUGUUGGGAAAGAAAAGCAGCAGGUUAAUACCCCGCUGUUCUGACGGUACCCAAAGAAUAAGCACCGGCUAACUUCGU